rnacentral:rRNA from 1 species
UACGAAGGGGGCUAGCGUUGCUCGGAAUCACUGGGCGUAAAGGGUGCGUAGGCGGGUUUUUAAGUCAGGGGUGAAAUCCUGGAGCUCAACUCCAGAACUGCCUUUGAUACUGAAGGGCUUGAGUUCGGGAGAGGUGAGUGGAACUGCGAGUGUAGAGGUGAAAUUCGUAGAUAUUCGCAAGAACACCAGUGGCGAAGGCGGCUCACUGGCCCGAUACUGACGCUGAGGCACGAAAGCGUGGGGAGCAAACAGG